UACCGGCGGCUCGAGUGGUGGCCACUUUUAUUGGGCUUAAAGCGUUCGUAGCUGGGUUGUUAAGUCUCUUGGGAAAUCUGACGGCUCAACCGUCAGGCGUCCAAGGGAUACUGGCAAUCUUGGAACCGGGAGAGGUGAGGGGUACUUCGGGGGUAGGAGUGAAAUCCUGUAAUCCUCGAGGGACCACCUGUGGCGAAGGCGCCUCACCAGAACGGCUUCGACAGUGAGGGACGAAAGCUGGGGGAGCAAACCGG
rnacentral:rRNA from 1 species